rnacentral:rRNA from 1 species
CCGGUUGAUCCUGCCGGAGGCUACCGCUAUUGGAGUUCGAUUAAGCCAUGCGAGUCGCGAGUCUUAGGGACUCGGCGUACCGCUCAGUAACACGUGGGUAACCUGCCCUAUGCUGGGGGAUAACCUCGGGAAACUGAGAAUAAUACCCCAUAGUUCACCACGCCUGGAACGGUGGGUGGAUCAAAGCUCCGGCGGCAUAGGAUGGGCCUGCGGCGUAUCAGGUUGUAGGGGGUGUAAUGUACCCUCUAGCCCUCUACGCGUACGGGUGUUGAGAGACAUCGCCCGGAGAUGGAUUCUGAGACACGAAUCCAGACCCUACGGGGUGCAGCAGGCGCGAAAACUUGGCAAUGCGAGAAAUCGUGACCAGGGAACUCCAAGUGCAUCGGGUAAGACCGAUGCUUUUCUUGACUCUUCAAAGGUCUUGGAAUAAGGGGUGGGUAAGGACGGUGCCAGCCGCCGCGGUAAUACCGGCGCCCCAAGUGGUAGUCGCUUUUAUUGGGCCUAAAACGUCCGUAGCCGGUCUGGUACAUUCGUGGGUAAAUCAACCAGCUCAACUGGUUGAAUUCUGCGAGCACGGCCAGACUUGGGACCGGGAGAGGUGUGGGGUACUCUCAGGGUAGGGGUAAAAUCCUGUCAUCCUGAGAGGACCACCUGUUGCGAAGGCGCCACACUAGAACGGAUCCGACGGUCAGGGACGAAGCCUAGGGGCACGAACCGGAUUAGAUACCCGGGUAGUCCUAGGUGUAAACGCUGUGGACUUGAUGUUGGGGGCGCUCCGAGCGCACUCAGUGUCGAAGCGAAGGUGAUAAGUCCACUGCCUGGGGAGUACGGUCGCAAGGCUGAAACUUAAAGGAAUUGGCGGGGGAGCACCGCAACCUGAGGAUUGUGCGGUUUAAUUGGAGUCAACGCCG